GACGAACGCUGGCGGCGUGCUUAACACAUGCAAGUCGAGCGGUAAGGCCCGUUUCGGGGGUACACGAGCGGCGAACGGGUGAGUAACACGUGGGUGACCUGCCCUUAGCUCUGGGAUAAGCCUGGGAAACUGGGUCUAAUACCGGAUAUGACUCCAUGACGCAUGUUGGUGGGGUGGAAAGCCUUGUGCGGCUAGGGAUGGGCCCGCGGCCUAUCAGCUUGUUGGUGGGGUGAUGGCCUACCAAGGCGACGACGGGUAGCCGGCCUGAGAGGGCGACCGGCCACACUGGGACUGAGACACGGCCCAGACUCCUACGGGAGGCAGCAGGUGGGGAAUCUUGCGCAAUGGGCGAAAGCCUGACGCAGCGACGCCGCGUGGGGAUGAC
rnacentral:rRNA from 1 species